GAUGAACGCUAGCGGCAGGCCUAAUACAUGCAAGUCGAGGGAGAAUGUUGGAUUCGUCUGACAUGAAACCGGCGCACGGGUGCGUAACACGUAUGCAACCUACCUUUAACUGGGGUAUAGCUCAGAGAAAUCUGAAUUAAUCCCCCAUAAGACUACGACAUGGCAUCAUGAUGUAGUUAAAGCUCCGGCGGUUAAGGAUGGGCAUGCGGUACAUUAGCUAGUUGGUGAGGUAAUGGCUCACCAAGGCUACGAUGUAUAGGGGGUCUGAGAGGAUGAUCCCCCACACUGGUACUGAGACACGGACCAGACUCCUACGGGAGGCAGCAGUAGGGAAUAUUGGUCAAUGGACGCAAGUCUGAACCAGCCAUGCCGCGUGAAGGAUGAAGGCCCUAUGGGUCGUAAACUUCUUUUAUUAGGGAAGAAAAAACGGGAUGCGUCCUGUACUGACGGUACUUAAUGAAUAAGGAUCGGCUAACUUCGUGCCAGCAGCCGCCGCAG
rnacentral:rRNA from 1 species